AACAUUUUAGUCAUGGAUAUAUUAGAUAUAAGGAUAAACAAAUUACUGUUUUCCCAAUUAUGUACAAUCUGUAAACAUCAUAAACAUAAAAAAAAAAAAACUGCUAUCUGUUAAAGUCUCAAAGUUAAUACUCUAGAAAUUAGGGGUGCCUGGGUAAAUCAGGUAGUUAAACAUUCAACUCUUGAUUUUGGCUCAGGUUGUGAUCUCAAGGUCAUGAGAUCAAGCCCCACAUUGGGCUCUGCACUCAGCUGGGACUCUGCUUGAAAUUUUCUCUCCCUCUCCCUUUGCUCCACACCCCUCUAUCCCACCAUUCUCUCCCACUCUCUCAUUCUCUCUCUCUGAAAUAAAUCUUAAAAAAAAGAAAAAAAUGUAAAAAAAAAAACAGCUAAAAGUAAACUUAACCUAUAGAUAUUUUAAAGAAUGUAGGUAAUAUGAAAAUUAUUUUAGAGGGUUCCAAUUAAAGUAUGCAUUAUUAGCAGACAAUUUAGGAUAACACAGGCAAAAACCUUAGUCUCAAAAUAUCACAGCAUUCAGAAAAACACUCGAGAUUAAGGUAUUACUCAGAUAUAUAUAUAUAUAUAUAUAUAUAUAUAUAUAUAUAUCAGAUAUAUAUUUACUCUUUGUAAUAUUAGUGUUGAGUAUCAAACAGUUAAAAGUCUUCCAGGAAUUUUUAUAUUAGAUGCUUCUGGUGUUCUAUUUGUUUGACAACCCAUAGGCAAGGGAUAUGAAGAGGUACCAUUGCAUAAUGGUUUUGCCAAAAUAACUUUCUCCACUAAGCUAAAAAUCUCCUAAAAAUGGCUCUGAAAUUUAUGAUAAUGACACAUUUCAUUUAUGUCCUCAGCUUUCAAGUGCCAACUUUAUAUUUGCUUUAUAAUGUUGAAUUGAGAGCUUAUUGGUUAAAAGAAAAUGAAAACAGGAAGAAAAGAAAGAGAAGGGAGAAAAAGAGAACUGCUUUCUAUUUUUUUAUGUUUUUAUUUAUUUAUCUGAGAGAGAAAGAGCUCGUGUGCACAAACAAGUAGGGUGAGGAGGAGGGAUGGAAAGGAAGAAGGAGAAGCAGACUCCCCAGUGAGCAGGGAGCAGAGUUCAAUCCUAGGACCCUGAGAUCCUGACCUGAGUUGAAGGCAAAUGCCUAACCAACUGAGACACUAGGUGCCCCAAAAAACUGCUUUUUAAAUCUGAAUUGACUCAGACAUUGUCCCAUCCACAAACUCUCUCCUCUUAAAAGAAUGCAUUGUCUUCUACUUCCUUCAAGUGCCAUUACUGAGUUUCUAUUUGAAUUAAACAAGGUCAGCUUGUAUGAAUUAAAUUAUCAAACCUUUACAGAAAUUUAGUAUAUAAUUUCAAGUGUUGAGUUUGUCCACUAGAGUGCACCAUCGUAAUCUCUUGAAUAUAACAGAAACAUGUUGAUGUAUUUUUUUCA
rnacentral:lncRNA from 1 species